UCUUAUGUUCUGUUUCUUUUCCGCCUCCUACAGGACAUUUAAGGUACUACACUUUAUUUUGCCAUUUACUUUCGGUUUCUCUCAGGGAACGCAGUCAAGAAGAACGUGCAUGCAGUUCCUAUGGGUUAUUGAUUCCAUCGUUUAAAUCUUGGAAAUAUAUGUCUUUUUACAAUAAAAGAAUUGAGAAGAACAAUCACCAGUAAAGUCACUAAAGUUAUGAAGACUGCUUUCUGGAGUUCUUUUCGGAAAGUGUACGCUAUCUGUUAAGCCUUUGCUCAAGCUACGCAAUUGGUCAGAACAGAAUACCUACAGCUCUACAG